CUGUGAUGAAAUUUUUGUUCAGACUUGUUUAGUUCAAAAUUUAGUCUAUUACGCAAAUGGUCAAUUGGAGUGCCGACUUUUGAUUUGGCAAAUAAGUUCAACCUACCAAGGCGCAUGGGUUUCAAUUUUCAAAGCUGUAUAUGGACUACAAACGUAAAAACGCACAAGUUGUAACAAAUCUGCAGCAGACUUGUAGCAACACUGUUCCAACAACUUGUCAACAGGAUGUGUUCCCACUGCUUGUUCCCAGCUUGUUGACAAGUUCUCAACGGCCUGUUGACAACUUGCUACAAGGUUGUUGACCUCAAUAGACUUGUUAUAGGUUGUUCCAACAACUUGUUAUCGUCCUGCAAUUCAACAAUUUGUCAACAAGUUGUGAGUGACAACCUUGUAGCAACUUGAUGAAAUAACAGCAACCUUGUAGCAACUUGAUGAAAUAACAUCAUUGUUACAACUUGUUGACAAGCUUCCUACAAGCCUGUUGAGGAGACAUCUAGUUGACAAGUUGUGAGAUUUUACGUGCAUGCGUAUUAUUUUAUUAGUACUAUCCAAAGAGCGCCAAUGUCAAUAAUAAACUUGUCGUUUUAGCACGGUUGUCAUAUUUUUAAUGGAUUUCAAACGAUUUACUGUUAUUGGUUACUUAAUGGUGCCAUCAACAUUUUAUACAUUGUGUUUGAAUAGGAUGUUAAAACAAUGACGCAGUAACAUUGAAAUUGAUCGUUAAAGUUCAUCUUUAACCAAACAAUUGUAGCGGUUACUCUAUAAUCUUGCUAUUCAAGGCGUACUUGGCAUUGUCUUCGCUUCUACAUUCGUUUUCAUAAACCUUUUGAGGAAGGCUUCUAAAGGCCUAUUUAUUGCAUUGCCAUUGCCCCAGUACACCCUUUCGAUAAUUAUGCCACACAUACUUUUUGGUCCUGGGACUGUUCAUGAGAGCGAGGCUCCCAGGCCAAAUGACGUACUUUAUAUCGAAAGGGUGUAUUUACUAUUUAUAUAAUCAUAUGAGAUGAGUUUUAAUCAGUGAGCUCCAUUUAUAUAUCUGGAGUGUGAAUUCGUUUCCAAAAACAGAAGCCAACGAUAGCGGAAAUUAUAUAUAGAGAGCUCACUGGUGUCAGUAAGUAUUAGUUGCGGAUUUGGUGUGUAUGACGCAAAAAAAGAACAAAUAUCGAAGCCCUGCUCAAACAAGGAGAGAGUUCAAAAUUUUAUGAGACUUUUCACUACGCGCGCGGUAAUAUCCUGUAAACUCACAUCAACUCUCACGAAACUCUUGUUCUCGUUUGGCCAGGGCAUGAGAGUUGAGAAAACCCUCAUGCAAACUCUCGCUUCUCAACUCUCAUGCAACUCUUGUUCUCGUUUGACCAGGGCAUGAGAGUUGAGAAAACUCUGAUGUAAACUCUCGCUUUUCAUGCAACUCUUGUUCUCGUUUGACCAGGGCAUGAGAGUUGAGAAAACUCUGAUGUAAAUUCUCGCUUCUCAACUCUCAUGCAACUCUUGUUCUCACGAGUUUGACCAGGGCAUGAGAGUUUAGAAAACUCUGAUGUAAACUCUCGCUUCUCAACUCUCAUGCAACUCUUGUUCUCGUUUGACCAGGGCAUGAGAGUUGAGAAAACUCUGAUGUAAACUCUCGCUUCUCAACUCUCAUGCAACUCUUGUUCUCGUUUGACCAGGGCAUGAGAGUUGAGAAAACUCUGAUGUAAACUCUCGCUUCUCAACUCUCAUGCAACUCUUGUUCUCGUUUGACCAGGGCAUGAGAGUUGAGAAAACUCUGAUGUAAACUCUCGCUUCUCAACUCUCAUGCAACUCUUGUUCUCGUUUGACCAGGGCAUGAGAGUUGAGAAAACUCUGAUGUAAACUCUCGCUUCUCAACUCUCAUGCAACUCUUGUUCUCGUUUGACCAGGGCAUGAGAGUUGAGAAAACUCUGAUGUAAACUCUCGCUUCUCAACUCUCAUGCAACUCUUGUUCUCGUUUGACCAGGGCAUGAGAGUUGAGAAAACUCUGAUGUAAACUCUCGCUUCUCAACUCUCAUGCAACUCUUGUUCUCGUUUGACCAGGGCAUGAGAGUUGAGAAAACUCUGAUGUAAA